UUCCAGACUCCUACGGGAGGCAGCAGUGAGGAAUAUUGGUUAAUGGGCGGGAGCCUGAACCAGCCAAGUCGCGUGAGGGAAGAAGGUACUGAGUAUUGUAAACCUCUUUUGCCAGGGGACAAAGGCGGCCACGGGUGGCCGUAAGAGGGUACCUGGAGAAAAAGCAUCGGCUAACUCCGUGCCAGCAGCCGCGGUAAUACGGAGGAUCCGAGCGUUAUCCGGAUUCAUUGGGUUUAAAGGGUGCGUAGGUUGUUUUAUAAGUUAGCGGUGAAAUACCGAUGCUCAACAUCGGGGCUGCCGCUAAUACUGUAGGACUAGAGAUCGGAUGCAGCAGGCGGAAUGUGUAGUGUAGCGGUGAAAUGCAUAGAUAUUACACAGAACACCGAUUGCGAAGGCAGCUUGCUAGGCCGGAUCUGACACUGAUGCACGAAAGCGUGGGGAUCGAACAGGAUUAGAUACCCGUGUA
rnacentral:rRNA from 1 species